GACCAGUAACCUCUACUGCAACAGUGACCUCUUCUGGACCGGGUGGAGUCCACUGCCUCUCCACCGUCGUCCCUCAACGCUGACAGGGACCACGAGGCGAGA
rnacentral:lncRNA from 1 species